CUGGGAUUAAAGGGGUGAGCCACUGUACCUGGCAACACCUUUAAAAAUUUCUUCACCCACCUAUCCACCUUUAAAGUUGUUCUUUGAGGGCUUUCAGGAAUGAGGUUAAUCCAAAUAGGAUAAGGCAGUUUUGUUCCCAGGAAGUAUUUAACACACUGGUUCUCAACUUUCCUACACAUUAGAAUCACCUCGGGGAGGUUUGUGAAAAUGCAGAUUGCUGGUCUCCACUCCCAUCCAAUUCAGUAGGUCCGAGCUGAAGUCUGAGAAUUUGCAAUUGUAACAACCUCCCAGAUGACACUGCUGGUCUGGGAAAUCACACUUUGAAAACCACUGAACAAAUUGUCAAAAAAUAAUUGCUGACAGUCAGUAAUGUAAUAAAUCCAUUAGCCCCCUCCAGCCAAGGAGGGAAGACUGGGUAAAGAAGCCAUAGACGGUGGCAGUGACCGGGGUCAAAAGAUGUUGCCACUAUGGGGUUGUUCCUAGGUAUCUAUGGAGUAGCAUACCAAAAAGGCCAGAAUUUUCUGUUGGGUAUUGCUGCUCAUCUAGAAAACACCAGCUACCAAUAGAUGUCCUCUCUGUGCCGAAAUACUGCUUACCUCAGGGGAUAUUGGCUUGCUUGCUUCCUUUUCUGCCACCGCCCUCCCCCACACCCCCCACCAUGCAAAUCCCCCUGGGAAAGAAGAAAGUUGGACAGGAACAAGAUAGGUUAGACACUUACACCCUGGAGAGAGGUCCUUGAGCAACAGAAGUUAUUUGAGAUAUUUUAGAGAGUUUGUAGCCCAAAGAUCUGUCGGAGUUGGUGAUGAAUUAUCUCAGCAAAAAGUGAUAUUGGACCCUCAGUUUCCACACUGUGAUGGGAGCAAAGACAUCUUAGCAAA
rnacentral:lncRNA from 1 species